rnacentral:rRNA from 1 species
UACAGAGGGUGCAAGCGUUAAUCGGAAUUACUGGGCGUAAAGCGUGCGCAGUCGGCUUUUUAAGUCGGGUGUGAAAUCCCCGGGCUCAACCUGGGAAUUGCAUUCGAUACUGGAUAGCUAGAGUUCGGCAGAGGGAAGUGGAAUUUCUGGUGUAGCGGUGAAAUGCGUAGAUAUCAGAAGGAACAUCAGUGGCGAAAGCGACUUCCUGGACCAGAACUGACGAUCAGGCACGAAAGCGUGGGGAGCAAACAGG